GGAUGAACGCUGGCGGCGUGCCUAAUCCAUGCAAGUCGAGCGAACAGACGAGGAGCUUGCUCCUCUGAUGUUAGCGGCGGACGGGUGAGUAACACGUGGAUAACCUACCUAUAAGACUGGGAUAACUUCGGGAAACCGGAGCUAAUACCGGAUAACAUGUUGAACCGCAUGGUUCAACAGUGAAAGACGGUCUUGCUGUCACUUAUAGAUGGAUCCGCGCCGCAUUAGCUAGUUGGUAAGGUAACGGCUUACCAAGGCAACGAUGCGUAGCCGACCUGAGAGGGUGAUCGGCCACACUGGAACUGAGACACGGUCCAGACUCCUACGGGAGGCAGCAGUAGGGAAUCUUCCGCAAUGGGCGAAAGCCUGACGGAGCAACGCCGCGUGAGUGAAGAAGGUCUUCGGAUCGUAAAACUCUGUUAUUAGGGAAGAACAAAUGUGUAAGUAACUAUGCACGUCUUGACGGUACCUAAUCAGAAAGCCACGGCUAACUACGUG
rnacentral:rRNA from 1 species